UACGUAGGGUGCGAGCGUUAAUCGGAAUUACUGGGCGUAAAGCGUGCGCAGGCGGCGGCUCAAGUCAGGUGUGAAAUCCCCGGGCUUAACCUGGGAAUUGCGCUUGAAACUAGGUCGCUAGAGUGUGGCAGAGGGGGGUGGAAUUCCGACGUGUAGCAGUGAAAUGCGUAGAGAUGUGGAGGAACACCGAUGGCGAAGGCAGCCCCCUGGGUCAACACUGACGCUCAUGCACGAAAGCGUGGGGAGCAAACAGG
rnacentral:rRNA from 1 species